GGACUAGCGGAGGCUAGUCC
rnacentral:misc_RNA from 1 species